UCGGCGUCCGCGCGCGCCGCCGCCGCCCCCUCGCGCCGCCCCGGCGCUGCGCUGCGCUCACCUGCGCGGCCGCCGCCGCCGUGGGGCUCCCGAAGGAGUCCACCGAGGACAGGUACUGCGACUCGGCCGACGGCGACGAGCUGCAGCGCGACGCGGAGUCGUAGUCGCCGGGGAAGCCCUGCUGCCGGUUCGCUGCUGCGAGGCGCCGCCGUUCAAACUCCCGGCGCGUGGAAGUCGCGCUCCGCCGCUACGAGGCUCCGGUUCAAACUCCCGGUUCCGCCAGUGCAAAGCCCCCGUUGGAAAGUCCCGGUGCGCCCGUCCCAGGCGCCGGUACAAAGUCCCGCGUCCGCCGGUGCAAAGCUCCCGCUCGCGGCUCCGCGCCCGCCGGUGCAAAGCUCCGCUUGGAAAGUCCCGGUGCAAGUCGCCGCUCCGCGUCCGCCGGUGCAAAGCUCCCGUUGGAAAGUCCCGGCGCGCCGGUGCAAGCGCCCGGUGCGCCUCCCCCCUCCGCCGGUUGCGGAGCCCCGCGUCCGCCGCUGCCGGGCUCCGGCGCCCCCGCCCCGAGGCUCCGGUCGCCAAGUGCCGGCGUGGCGCUCGCUCGCGGGCCGCGCUGGAGCUCCGGUGUCCGGUAUCCGCCGCCGCCGAAGCGCCUCCGCACGCGCUUUUAUGAAUGAACCGCUUCUCCACCGCGCGCCCGAUUUAUACGGCGGCGCCCCGCCCCCCGCUGACGUCACGCGGCGGCGCGGCCCCGCCGCCCCGGGCCCCCGAGCCGCCUCGGGCCCCGCCGCCGCCGCCGCCCGCUGCCCGCCGCGCUCUGCGGCCCCGCCGCCCGCCGCCGCCGUUAAAAGGUGCCUCGGCGGCGGCGGGAGAGGAGGGGAUCCCUCGCCCCGCCCCGCCGGAGUUCCUGUGACGCAAUUAGCCAUAUAUGGGCUUGUCUCGGC